rnacentral:rRNA from 1 species
CCAUAAGCGGAAAAGAAAAUAACUAUGAUUCCCUUAGUAACGGCGAGUGAACAGGGAAAAGCCCAAAUUUGUAAUCUGGCACUUUUUACAAGUGUCCGAGUUGUAAUUUGUAGAACUGUUAUCCGCGCUGGACCAUGUACAAGUCUGUUGAAAAGCAGCAUCAUUGAAGGUGAAAAUCCUGUAGAUGAUAUGGACUACCAGUGCAUUUGUGAUACGGUUUCUAAGAGUCGAGUUGUUUGGGAAUGCAGCUCAAAGUGGGUGGUAAAUUCCAUCUAAGGCUAAAUAUAAGUGAGAGACCGAUAGCAAACAAGUACCGUGAGGGAAAGAUGAAAAGAACUUUGAAAAUAGAGUUAACAGUACGUGAAAUUGCUGAAAGGGAAACGUUUGAAGUUAGUUUUGUAUUCGUUGGAUCAGCUUCGCAAGGAGUGUAUUCUGAUGAUAAGCAAGUCAACAUCAAUCUAUGAGUGUCGGAGAAGGGUUUUGAGAAUGUAGCAAUUUUUAUUAAUUGUGUUAUAGCUUGAGACUUGGAUACGAUGCUUUGGAUUGAGGAACGCGUAGUAAGCUUUGAGCGGAUUCGAAAGGAUCUCCUUACUAUGGAUGUUG